AGAUGCGUUCAUACCAGCACUAACGCACCGGAUCCCAUCAGAACUCCGAAGUCAAGCGUGCUUGGGCGAGA
rnacentral:rRNA from 1 species